AUGAAACUGAAAGGUACGUAAACAAUCUUAACAUAUAUAACCGCUCGAAAAACGGAACGAACUUAUGGGAUAACCUAAUAGAUCUCCUGAUAAUAAAUUACACGAUAACGUCGAUAAAUAUUUUCGUCGAGAAUUACUUGAAUUUUUGUGUAACUUAUCGAAACGUGCGUUUUACGAUUCCCCGAAGUACUAACUUCCUAUUACUUUCAGUCUUCUAUAUUACUGAUUAAAAUUUGUUUACGAGUGUCAUUAGUUCGCGAACGUUACUAUUUUACUCGUUUUCGUUUCAUCUCAACAGGGUGAACGUUAAUUUCGACGGUUCAUUCACGACGAAGAACACUUCAGGUAUUACGCGACGGCUUUGAAUGAAACUUCGCAACUAGGUCGAGGCUCGGAAGGUAUCAGAAAAUGAUUUCGUCCGAAAAGCAUUUAAACUCUCGAAUACCCUCGAUACUUGGAGAAACUGACAAUUCCCUUUCCAAACAGGUAGAGUAAAUUCGAGUAAAUUGAAGAUAAGGUUGUGUAGCCGUCAUUAUCUCAUAAAACGAAAGAAAAAUUCGUGACAAAUCUUUCAACACGUCUUUCAUCCUUCCUCGAUAAAAAAUGAACCUAAAACUUGAUUUAUUAUGAAUUACAAUUCCAGGGAAUUGAUAUCUCUUUGUCUUCUUUACUCUCAUUUUUCUUUUAAAAAUAUAAAUUUUAUUUGAUUAAUUAAACUUAAGUAAACCUAUUAAUUCGUUUAAGUAACGGAAGCUUAGCAUAUUUAGAUUUAACUAAUCGGUAUUUAAAUAGGUUCGUUAAAAAAUUGAUGUAUAUCUUUAUAUCCGUCUGAUUGAUUUGUAGCCUACAAAUUUAUUUAUAGUCUAUCUUUAACUUCCUCUUAAGAAGUUCAAUUCCCAUUCAGUAUUCAUCUACAGAAACGUCUAUUUCUUCAAACUAGACUCUACAAAUUUUUCUUUCGUGAGUAUCGUAUUAACUUUAACCCACGAUUACAAUAAUUAUGCUAAUUUUCGUCUUAUUCGAGCGAUUUUAUCGAGACCCGGUCGAUGAAAUGCCUAAACGUAAACGCCAAGGUGACAUGGACACGUAUUGCGUGUGGAAGAUCCGUUGACGCAUUGCAGAAGAACAAAAUUAUCGGGAGAGGUUAGCAAAACAACCGAGAAAAAGGUAGAACAGUGCAUAAAAAAAGAAUGUUAAAGAAAUGAAAAAGAAAGAAAAAAAUGGUGGCGUAUUUGAACCGACGGAGAACAGCAUUCGUCCCUGCUCGGCCGGUAAAUCAAUUUCGUCGAAGGACGAUCUAAGAGUGCGAGAAUUGCGGCGGGGUCAACGAGCCACGCAGCGGCCACAUUAAUUAAGUAAACGCUGCUCCUAUUGCCGACCUCUUUCAGCGGCUAAUCGCUUUCGACGCUCGUGCGAUUAUGUUCACUAUGAAUACCCAGAAACUUAUUUCUGACGCCGUUUGUUUUUUAUAUUCCAUAAAUUGAAUGAUAGAUGGUUAAUAAUUCAGAGCUUUUAUGUCAUCGGUUUUCCUAAAACUUCCUAAAAACGUAAAAACGUGAAUUUGCAUAAGUAUCUGUAGUCUAGUAGUAUUGAAUGUCUAUAUUAAAUACUAUUUAGAAAAUACGAUUGCCCUAAUUUGUUGCUAAACAUUCUUAAUCUUUCUAAAGAACGAUGUUUAUCAAUUCCUACUUCUCCGUUUUCCUUUCUGUUGCCGCCAUUCCCCAUACUUCUACAGGCUUCUAAGAUAUACAACGUAAUAAAUAUUAUUUAAUUCCUAUAUCUCGAUAUUCGAAAUAUUUUUCAGCUUCUCUCCGACAGUUUUAUAUCAACAGGAAAUUGAAUUAUAUGCAUACAUUCAUGCGUGCAUAGCAUACGUAUCAAAUGUAAACUGAAAUAAGCAUAUGUAAAUAAAUUUUACGUCCAAACAUAUUUAUUCGUCUAUUAAUAGAAUAUAAUCAAUCACGAAAUGUCAAAGAAUAACAGAAAUCUUACGCUCACAUAAAAAAAAAGAAUCAUGGAAGAAAAUUAAUUGUUGAAUUAAAAAAAAAUUAAUCAAAAGAGGUUAAAGUGGCAAUAGUUUAACACAGAUACUAUUUUUCUACAUCAAUCAUUUUACUCUAAUUGAAAGUAUUGUUAAAAUUUCACAUUUCUUUCGGCAUGGAACGUGUUAACCGGAAGUCGCUAACUAUAAGUAUUCCCAUCAGCUGUUGACGAACAGUGUGGGGUCUGUGUUACAAUUUACUUUCAGAGUAUCGUCACUCUUGCAAUUUUUAUAUAUUAAAAGAUGAAAUUAGAUAAUCAUAUAGAGAGUAUAUAACAAGGAAAAAUUCAUAUGUGAUCACUUGGAGCAGUAUUACGCCAGGGACACGGGCUGCACGGUUGCACGCAGUGUGGUCUCUUACAUAAGUUAGAACAGAGGUUAGAAAGAGAAGCAUAGAGAAUACGUUCGACCGAUAUGAAUAGUUGACACGAUGUUUUCACUUGACAUCAGUUUUCAUCAGAAAAUGAAGCUCUGCCUGCGUCUUCGGAGGUACACUCACUACGAAUUCAACAUGAAGAAAUCAAGAACAAUGUUUUGUCAACGAUCACCAAUCCAAUUAAUAUGAAGAUUAACGCUGGUUCCCUUAAACACGUUGAAACGCGAAAACACGCGAUAAUAUUGAAGCGCGAGGAAAGUUAACAGGCUGAACCAUCUACGUCCGCAACGUAUACAUAUACUGACAGCUACGUAGACGAAACGAGUCUCAUAAAUGCACGAAAUCACGUCUACUCACACGCACUGUGAUACUCAGAUCGGAUAGUGUCUUCGUUGACAGAAGACGAGUCCAUAAACUCGCGUUUCACAAACGUACAGCGAGAUUCUGCGAGACGAAAUGAAACAACUAGCUGAACGAAAUGACAAAAGUGAGGUUACGUAGGUCCAGACUCGAUGACACGAGUUAUCGAGACGCAGUCUGAUAGUCGAUGACUUUUACAACAGAUUUCUCUCCUUUCUUUCUGUUCCUACCGUCUCUCGGAUCGUGACAAUGGACUAGAAGCUGCAGCGGCACGCUGCACACCCAGGACGCACCACGCAAGUUCCAGCUGACGUCCUGGCGAAUCGAAGAAGUGGGGAGGGAACGGAGCAGUCAAGUGUGGUGGACAGCCCUCACGGACUUAGAUCGGCCCUCGUGGCUCAAAGGAGAAGCAUAAGUGGGAAAGCAGAAUUAAAGAUUAGUUGGUUAUGUUUUGCAACUCUUUGGUUAUCAUUGGUACCUGUACGUGAUAGAAGUCAAUGCUUAUAGAAGGUUAAAGGUAAUCACUCGCUAGAUAUUAAUAAUACAACUAUGAAUACCUGUAGGUACUCCAACAAUUCUUUUUUUCCUAACAAACAAAUAUAUUCCUAUAUUACUGAUUUUAUUUUUGGUAUAUGCAGAAUGUAAAAUGUGAAAUAUUAAAACAAAAGAUAUUGUGAAUUCAUACACAGUGAUUACUACUGCAUUGAGCACCUCUCGUCUCCAAACACGUCAGAUCAAAAGGUUACUUGAAAAAUUAAGAAAAUGAAUGAACUUAAAUUACUCAAAGUAAAUGAAAGAAACGUGCAAUUUUUAUUCCGACAAAGUAAUAACGAACGAAAUGGAAAAACUAUACACAACUGUUCAAUGACAGUUUCUUCUAUGGAUCGAAAGCGCGGUCGCGAAACUAGACCGUGUUAAGCCGCUUAGAAAUGCGGCCCGUCAUCCCGACAAUGCACGUGUACUCGUUCAGAGGUACGCAAGCAGCUCGAUUGUCGACGGCGAACUCGUUGUGCCUCCAAGCUUCGAACGCCACGAAUCAGCAGGAGGAAGAGGGAAUCACCAACGCUACAGGAAGGGAGAAUCACCGAGACAGAAAAGGAGGAGAAUGUAAGCUUUGGCAAGAGUUGGAACAAGAGAAAACGAUCAGCAGUCGGCCAACCGCGUGAGACUGAAUGAACUCGUCUCUGACCCCGACUUGUCCUGCCUCGUUCCCGAGCGAUGACAACCCCAGUCUACCACCUCCUCGCCUCUUCCUCCAUUUCGCAAUGCCUGUUUUAUCGCAAGAGAUUUUUCAUGUUUGUCGAUGAUUAUGGUCAGAGCUUAAUUAUUGUAGCUAUUAAAAAAGUUUGAAUUCAAUAGUGAUUUAAAAUGUAAUAUUUGGAAUUUGCUUUGAUCCAUUUUAUCCAAUUUGGAAUCCAACAUUGCUUUUAGAAUACUUAGAAUACUCAGAAUUUUCUGAUCAUUUUAUUCCUCUUUUUAAAUUGCAAGUAUUUUUGCAUUCUAAGUGAUCUAGUCUUUCUUCAAAGAAAUUAUUCUCAAAUAAUUUAGUUUCACAACAUGACGUUCUGCACAACUAUUGUUUUGUUACAAAUUAAUCGCAUCGCCCAAUAUUUCUUUCGUCUUUCUUUUUACCAGCCUAAUUGUAUCAAGUACAAAGAACAGCCAGAAUUAUCUUUCCCAUUUCUUAGGAAAAUCAUAUCAUAGAAUCUAGAGCUUUUAUAUCAAUGAGUCAGUAGUUUUGAUGCGGUUUAGGGAGAUGGAGGAGCGUUUGUCUUUGAUCAUCGAAAUCGCAGGACUUCGAUAAAGGGAUAUCGCAAAAGGGAUAUAGCCAGUGGAUUACGCAAAACAGAAGUCGAGACAGGGAAAUAAAGCGCGUCGGGACGGCGACACCUCGUCCACGCGCAUGCCAGCCUCGCUCGUGACGUCAGAGAGCGAAAAAUCAAUCCACCCUGUACAGUGCGGCAGGACAGGGACGUUGUAUAUCUGGCCGCCAUGGUCACCGUCAUUGAAUUAGCCGAAUUAAUUGUAGUUCGCCUAAUCGAUCGCCCUUGGGCUAAUUUGCAAUUUUAGAAUUCUGUCGAUCGUUGAUAUCUUGGAAUGUGACGAAUGUUUUCCUUUCUUGAAAUGAGUUUUUAGGGAGGAAGAGGUAGAAGUGUAGAUAGCUAUAGAUUCAGAGAUGGAGGUAGAGGAUAUUAAUAUACGAAAUGUGGCUGGGAUUGCUUAAACUGAAAAAUGGAAAGAAAGAAGCGGGAGACCUAGUUGUUACGCGGCUCGACUUGGCAAGAAGUCCCACAAGGAAGUUGUAUAAAAGAUUGGAGUAGUAUUCUAGUUUGAGUUUGUAAACUCAUUUAUGAAAGUACUGAGAUGAAAUUGGAAUUUAGAAAGAGUUUAGGAGAAGUAUGAAUACAUAAUAUACUCAAUAAUGAAUGAAGAUAACUAUGAUAGAAUGUACAUAAAUGUAGAAUAUUUUAAUAUCAAAGUUACUAUAGAUAUAUAAAAUUUCAAUAUUAGGAUUCAACAUACUACAUUUUCAAGAUUACGAUGUUCCAACUACUUUGAAAUAUUUGAACAUUUUUCUACGAUACUAUGAAAUUGAAAUUAAUCAAUAAUUUCGUCUUGUUCAAAUAAUUUCUAUUAAUUUUAAGAAUAAAUAGAUCCAGAUUAAAAAGACAAUAAGAUGCUAUAGGUAAAGCUUGCACGUCGUGAAACGUUUCGUUACGCAAUCCAUUCAAACAGCACCAUUUAAUCGAUUAAUUAAUUAUCCGUUCCACCUCGUUAAGACCACACAUGCUGGUGUAAUUGAAAUAAUGCUUAUGUAAUGCAAGACGUUACUUCGGAAGAUAGGGACGCCGAUCGUUUUUCCAUAACGCACAAAUGAAUCCUAGAUUGCACGAUAUACAAGCUAACAAACGCUGGAAAACGUAUUUCAACGAGUUUUAUUAACUGUAGAAUACUUUAUUCUGAUCCAAUCGCGAUGCACCUUCCCACAAUAAUCGAAUCGACAUGCUGACGUCGGACAUCUCAACGACCAAUGACUCAGAGAUAGUACGUUCGAGACCUGACGCGAUCGUGUCUCAGCUACGAGCAAACAAUCCGUAAGAUUGCAACCGAAAGGGAUUUCUGCAUUGCUGUUGUCCCGUGCCUCGGCUUGGACCACCAUUAGCUCAUCAAGUCCGUUAAAUGGACACGAAAGAAGGCAGAGACGCCGAACGAGGCGGACUUAAGUGUCUGGAGCUGUUCGUGCAAUUAUUUCCUAAGUAUUAGAAAUAGUCUUCCAAUCUUUUCCUAAAAGUUUCUUGAAAUUCAUAAAAAUUUAUUAUAUCGCACGAUAACGAAAAGAUCGUUUAUUCUUGACGUUUAUGUACAAAUUUCUUGAGAAUGUCGUAAAAAUACACAAUCGUAAAAAUACAAACCGCGAUCGUUUGAACCAUCGAGAGACAACGUGUCAGUCGCCGGAAGUUUGCAGUGUUCGACGGCUCAGAAAACUGGAAAUCUUACAAGCCUUUAAAUGUCAACGAAAAUGUAAAAUCGUCGAAGUGAAAAUAUUGAGACAUCGGGCGAAAUGUUUGAUAAUCGCGCUGUAUGCGAUACCAUUUGCAUGGCUUGCAUCUGGUGCUGUUUAUUCUCAAAGUGCUUCCCAAAUUCUAUCAGCCUCAAGGAAGUCGAUUCUAGUGAACGCUGCAGUUGGAAAUAUCCCAGUAAAAAAACAAAGAUGUCACGACUUGUUCAGUGCUGUUUGAGCUCUACGGAAACUCUUAUACGCCAUAAAUCUUGCAGAGGAAACAACUGUUUCAACGACGUUCAGAAGAAUUAUAAAUACCGAGUAUCCAUAAGUGAAGAUCCGCCAGAAGAUUUAUAGCGUCGAUAGGAUUUGUUAAAAUGUCUCGUUACGAUAAAGUAAAAAUAAAAAUCUCGUUAAGAUCAAAUAUGUAUUCCAAAUAUAUAAGAUAGUUAAUAGGAAA